UACGAAGGGUACGAGCGUUAUUCGGAGUUACUGGGCGUAAAGAGCGUGUAGGCGGUUUGUUAAGUUAGUUGUUAAAUUCCCCGGCCUAACUGGGGGCGAGCAACUAAAACUGAUGAGCUAGAGUGCAAGAGAGAGAAGUAGAAUUCCCGGAGUAGCGGUAAAAUGCGUAGAUCUCGGGAGGAAUACCGAUGGCGAAGGCAGCUUCUUGGCUUGUAACUGACGCUAAAGCGCGAAAGCGUGGGGAGCAAACAGGAUUAGAUACCCUGGUAGUCCACGCUGUAAACGAUGAUCACUGGACGUGGGUCUGACGUAGUCGGAUCUGUGUCGAAGCUAACGCGUUAAGUGAUCCGCCUGGGAAGUACGGUCGCAAGAUUA
rnacentral:rRNA from 1 species